rnacentral:tRNA from 2 species
GGGGCAGUAGCUCAGUUGGGAGAGUGCAUCCCUCGCACGGAUGAGGUCACGGGUUCAAAUCCCGUCUGCUCCA